rnacentral:rRNA from 1 species
AUUGAACGCUGGCGGCAUGCCUUACACAUGCAAGUCGAACGGCAGCAUGAUCUAGCUUGCUAGAUUGAUGGCGAGUGGCGAACGGGUGAGUAAUACAUCGGAACGUGCCCUGUAGUGGGGGAUAACUAGUCGAAAGAUUAGCUAAUACCGCAUACGACCUGAGGGUGAAAGUGGGGGACCGCAAGGCCUCAUGCUAUAGGAGCGGCCCAUGUCUGAUUAGCUAGUUGGUGGGGUAAAGGCUCACCAAGGCGACGAUCAGUAGCUGGUCUGAGAGGACGAUGGGCCACACUGGGAGUGAGCCACGGCCCAGACUCCUACGGGAGGCAGCAGUGGGGAAUGUUGGACAGUGGGGGGAAGCCUGGUACAGCGAGGCGGCGUGUGAGAAGGAGGCCCCCGGGUUGUGAAGCAGUUCUGUGCGGAAAGAAAUGGCUCCGGUUAAUACGUGGGGUGGGUGACGGUACCGGAUGAAGAAGGACCGGCUAACUACGUG